CAACUUGAGAGUUUGAUCCUGGCUCAGAACGAACGCUGGCGGCAGGCUUAACACAUGCAAGUCGAACGCAUCGCAAGAUGAGUGGCAGACGGGUGAGUAACGCGUGGGAACAUACCCUUUCCUGCGGAAUAGCUCCGGGAAACUGGAAUUAAUACCGCAUACGCCCUACGGGGGAAAGAUUUAUCGGGGAGGAUUGGCCCGCGUUGGAUUAGCUAGUUGGUGGGGUAAAGGCCUACCAAGGCGACGAUCCAUAGCUGGUCUGAGAGGAUGAUCAGCCACAUUGGGAC
rnacentral:rRNA from 1 species